ACGGGAGGCAGCAGUGGGGAAUAUUGGUCAAUGGGCGAAAGCCUGACCCAGCAACGCCGCGUGAAGGAAGAAGGUCUUCGGAUUGUAAACUUCUUUUAUCAGGGACGAAGGAAGUGACGGUACCUGAUGAAUAAGCCACGGCUAACUACGUGCCAGCAGCCGCUGCAAUACGUAGGUGGCGAGCGUUAUCCGGAUUUACUGGGUGUAAAGGGCGCGUAGGCGGGGAUGCAAGUCAGAUGUGAAAUCUAUGGGCUUAACUCAUAAACUGCAUUUGAAACUGUAUCUCUUGAGUGUCGGAGAGGUAGGUGGAAUUCCUAGUGUAGCGGUGAAAUGCGUAGAUAUUAGGAGGAACACCAAUUGCGAAGGCGAUCUACUGGACGAUAACUGACGCUUAGGCGCGAAAGCGUGGUGAGCAAACAGGAUUAGAUACCCUGGUA
rnacentral:rRNA from 1 species